rnacentral:piRNA from 1 species
GCAGUGUCUAGGGGUGAAUGUUUAAAGCUA